rnacentral:sRNA from 1 species
GUCCGUACGAUUACGCAUAGUCGCGCUGUAUUCUGGGCAGCUUGAGAAGGAGUUGACGAACUCGGACUUCUCCCUGCCACCCUGGGAGAUGUCCCAGGGAU